UAAAUACCAGUUCUAUGUUUUUCAUCUCCUGAUUCAUAACUGAUGCAGAAGAGUUGUGCCCUAAUCCCUGCUUUGGAGAGUUUUAAAGUCAUGAAAUAGUCAUGAUUUUCCCAUUAGUCAUUUGCAGGUUUCAGCUUAUACGAUCACUACUCCAGUCCAGGCUGUUGUGCACAGGCUACAGGUGCAGAAGCGGAAGGAGGCUGCCGUCACAACUUAGAGUAUGUGUAAGCUCUGAGUGAUGUGCUUCUGCAAGGAGGUCUCUAGUGAUUUUUCUAAAACAUGUCAAGAGGAAUUGAUGCCCAGAAGGUGUGGUAUGUGUAGGCCAUGGGUCCAAAGAGCCCAGGGUCACUGCCACAUGGCCUGGGAAUGGCGUCCCCUCUGAGAGGCACAGGCAACAGAAAGGACUCAGGCUGGAGUCAGAAGGCCUGGCUCUCCCCCAG
rnacentral:lncRNA from 1 species